GACGAACGCUGGCGGCGUGCUUAACACAUGCAAGUCGAACGGAAAGGCGCUGCUUUUGUGGGGUGCUCGAGUGGCGAACGGGUGAGUAACACGUGAGUAACCUGCCCUUGACUUUGGGAUAACUUCAGGAAACUGGGGCUAAUACCGGAUAGGAGCUCCUGCUGCAUGGUGGGGGUUGGAAAGUUUCGGCGGUUGGGGAUGGACUGGCGGCUUAUCAGCUUGUUGGUGAGGUAGUGGCUUACCAAGGCUUUGACGGGUAGCCGGCCUGGGAGGGUUACCGGCGACAAUGGGCCUGAGGUACGGCCCAGACUGGUACGGGAGGCAGCAGUGGGGAAUAUUGCGCAGUGGGCGCAAGCCAGAUGCAGCGGCGCCGGGUGCGGAAUGACGGCCUACGGGUGAUGAACCGCUUUCGCCUGUGCCGAAGCGUGAGUGACGGUAAUGGGUAAAGAAGCACCGGCUAACUACGUG
rnacentral:rRNA from 1 species